rnacentral:rRNA from 1 species
AUUGAACGCUGGCGGAAUGCUUUACACAUGCAAGUCGAACGGCAGCACGGGGGCAACCCUGGUGGCGAGUGGCGAACGGGUGAGUAAUACAUCGGAACGUGCCCAGUCGUGGGGGAUAACGUAGCGAAAGUUACGCUAAUACCGCAUACGAUCUACGAAUGAAAGCGGGGGACCGUAAGGCCUCGCGCGAUUGGUGCGGCCGAUGUCAGAUUAGGUAGUUGGUGAGGUAAAGGCUCACCAAGCCGACGAUCUGUAGCUGGUCUGAGAGGACGACCAGCCACACUGGGACUGAGACACGGCCCAGACUCCUACGGGAGGCAGCAGUGGGGAAUUUUGGACAAUGGGCGCAAGCCUGAUCCAGCCAUUCCGCGUGCAGGACGAAGGCCUUCGGGUUGUAAACUGCUUUUGUACGGAACGAAAAGGCUCUGGUUAAUACCUGGGGCUCAUGACGGUACCGUAAGAAUAAGCACCGGCUAACUACGUGCCAGCCGCCGCGGUAA